CUGAGGGGGUUCAGAACGCGCUCGGCCGCUGGGUGGGUCGGGGCGUUCGGCGCGCCCUUCAUUGAAGCGGCGGUGGCUGGGCUGGGCGCCGGGAGUGGGAAGCGACGGCGCGGCUGGAAAAUGCCAGUCCAUUCCCGAGGGGAUAAGAAGGAGACGAACCAUCACGAUGAGAUGGAGGUGGACUACGCCGAAAAUGAGGGGAGCAGCUCAGAGGACGAGGACACGGAGAGCUCGUCGGUCUCCGAGGAUGGAGAUAGCUCAGAAAUGGAUGAUGAAGACUGUGAAAGAAGAAGAAUGGAAUGUUUAGAUGAAAUGUCCAAUCUAGAAAAACAGUUUACCGAUCUCAAGGAUCAACUUUAUAAAGAACGAUUAAGUCAGGUGGAUGCAAAACUACAAGAAGUCAUAGCUGGAAAAGCACCAGAAUAUUUGGAACCACUGGCAACUUUACAAGAAAAUAUGCAAAUUCGUACAAAGGUAGCAGGAAUCUAUAGAGAGCUCUGCUUAGAAUCUGUAAAGAACAAAUAUGAAUGUGAAAUUCAAGCCUCUCGCCAGCAUUGUGAGAGUGAAAAGCUUUUGUUAUAUGAUACAGUCCAGAGUGAACUGGAGGAGAAGAUAAGAAGGCUUGAAGAGGAUAGGCACAGCAUUGAUAUUACCUCAGAGCUGUGGAAUGAUGAGCUUCAGUCAAGAAAAAAGAGGAAGGAUCCUUUCAGUCCUGACAAAAAGAAGCCAGUUGUUGUUUCAGGUCCAUAUAUAGUUUAUAUGCUACAAGAUCUUGAUAUUCUUGAAGACUGGACAACAAUUAGGAAGGCAAUGGCUACACUGGGUCCACACAGAGUGAAGACAGAACUUUUUGAACUGAUCCCUUUAGCGCCUGUGAAACUGGAAAAACAUCUGCACAGUGCUAGAUCUGAAGAAGGAAGAUUAUAUUAUGAUGGUGAAUGGUAUAUACGUGGACAAACAAUAUGUAUUGAUAAAAAAGAUGAAUGUCCUACAAGCCUUCCUCAUGUGAAAGUUGUUCGGAUACACAUAUUACUAUUGCUACUCAGAACUCAAACACCACUCCAAGAACGUGUACACCUCACUGAUAAUUGUUCAAAAAGAAGAACAAGGAUGUCAGCUGUUAUUUCCAAGGUUUGGUUUGUGGACCGAAUAAGUUCAGUACACUAAAACUGAACUAAAAUGAAUUUAUAAGGUAAGAAAAGUGGAUGCAGGAUGAAUAUACUAGUUAGGAUUUAUGUAGUCUCGUGCCAAAUUGGAAUAUAAACUAUUUUAAUUGCUAAAGAUUAGGAAAUCUAAAAUGUUUUUAAAAAGCACAUGAAAGGUUAGAAUGGGGUUAGAGAAAAACGUUAUGUUCCUUACAUUGUCUUUAUGGAUGAACUCAGGAAUUGUGGCUGGUAGGUCAGGUGGGAUUAACUGAGGCAGUUUCCCCCAUUGGGUCACUGUGGCCCAGUCUUGCCCUUUACUUCACAGGCCCAGAAACUUGAACUUUAUAUAUCCUGUUAUGAGCUGAAUUGUGCCUCCCCCCUUCCACCCCCUCCACCAAAUUCAUAUGCUGAAGCAUUACCCCCCCAGCACCUCAGAAUGUGACUGUAUUUGAAGAUAGGGUCCUUUAGAGAGGUUGAUCAGUUAAAAUGAGAUCAUUUCAGGGUAGAUCCUAAUCCAAUCUGACUGAUGUCCUUACAAGAAGAGGAAAUUUGGACAUCAGACAUGUGCACAGCGGGGAGACUCUGAGGAUAGAGCAAGGUAACUCUGCCAGCCAAGGAGAGAGCCCUCAGAAGAAACCAAACCUGCCAACACCUUGAUCCUGGACUUUAACAUCCAGCACUGUGAGGAAGUAAGUUUGCGUUGUUUAAGCCACCCAAGUCUACGGUAUCUUGUUACGGCAGCCCUGGCAAACUGAUACAUGCCCCAACGUGACAGCUUUCUGGGUAAGUCAGGCUGACUGACCCACAGUGGAUCGAAGGGGAAGCCAAGUGUCAAUUUAAUCACUUAAAUUGGGAAGUAUAAAUGAGAAGGAGACCUGACUCCUCAAGUCAAUUCUUUCCUUCUAGGAAAAUCUGUGUAAAGCCACCUUGUGAUCAGAAGAUUUGUUUUGGUGAAACUUCAGAGUCUCCGGUUUCCUGAUGAGGACGUUGUGAGGCACACAAAGGUUAAGAAAUUGCCCGUGGUCACACAGCUGGUAAGUGGCAGAGUUCGCAGUUAGUCUUGCCCUGAAGGCCAUGAGUUUAAUCACGUACCCCAGCAUCCCUAAGGUCUGAAUUUGGGUGGAUCAUUGCAUGAAUCAAGGGUGGGAACACAAGAGGAGUACAGCUGGGACUGGGGGAGGGAUGCAAAGAAGAGAUAAUAUUUGUGUUUCUUUUUUAUGUGUUAAGUUCAAAAGGUGUGACGGCCAGAUGGAAAUGCCCAGCAGGUAACAAUAUAUAACUUGGGUGAGGGCACAGAUUUAAAUUUGGGAUUGUGAGAGCACAAGUGGUAGCUAAAGUCAAUGAAGCGAGCAAAAACUUCUAAAAGGGCUUGAAAGGACUGCUUACGCAGCGUGAAGGAAAACCAGCAAUAAAAGAGAAGGGAGAAGAAUGACGAUGAAAAUUAAUUAUCACCAGAAUCUGUGUUUCUGUUGAUAAAGAGAAAUAGGCACCCUUGUAUACUGUUAGUGGGAGUGUAAAUUGGUACAAUUUAUUUGCAGGAAAAUGAAGCAAUACCUAAUAAACUGUAGAAUCCCCCACCA